rnacentral:rRNA from 1 species
CGGACGGGUGAGUAACGCGUGAGAAUCUGCCUUCUGGUCGGGGACAACCAUUGGAAACGAUGGCUAAUACCGGAUGAGCCUACGGGUAAAAGAUUUAUUGCCAGAAGAGGAGCUCGUGUCUGAUUAGCUAGUUGGUGGGGUAAAAGCUCACCAAGGCAUCGAUCAGUAGCUGGUCUGAGAGGAUGACCAGCCACACUGGGACUGAGACACGGCCCAG